rnacentral:rRNA from 1 species
CAAUAUACAAGGUGCUGCAUGGUUGUGUCAGCUCGUGCCGUGAGGUGCGGGUUAAGUCCGUAACGAGCGCAACCCUUGUCCUUAGUUACCAGCACGUUAUGGUGGGCACUCUAAGGAGACUGCCGGUGACAAACCGGAGGAAGUGGGGAUGACGUCAAGUCAUCAUGGCCCUUACGGCCUGGGCUACACACGUGCUACAAUGGUCGGUACAAAGGGUUGCCAAGCCGCGAGGUGGAGCUAAUCCCAUAAAACCGAUCGUAGUCCGGAUCGCAGUCUGCAACUCGACUGCGUGAAGUCGGAAUCGCUAGUAAUCGUGAAUCAGAAUGUCACGGUGAAUACGUUCCCGGGCCUU